rnacentral:rRNA from 1 species
GAUGAACGCUGGCGGCGUGCCUAAUACAUGCAAGUCGAGCGAACGGACGCGGAGCUUGCUUCUCUGAUGUUAGCGGCGGACGGGUGAGUAACACGUGGAUAACCUACCUAUAAGACUGGGAUAACUUCGGGAAACCGUCUCUUAUACCGGAUAAUAUUUUGCACCGCAUGGUUCAAAAGUGAAAGACGGUCUUGCUGUCUCUUAUCGCUGGAUCCGCGCUGCAUUAGCUAGUUGGUAAGGUAAAGGCUUACCAAGGCAACGCUGCAUAGCCGACCUGAGAGGGGGAUAGGCCACACUGGAACGGAGACACGGUCAAGACGCCUACGAGAGGCAGCAGUAGGGAAUCGGCCGCAAUGGUCGAAAGCAUUACGGAGCAACGCCGCGUGAGAUAUGAAGGUCUUCGGAUCGUAAAACUCGGUUAUGAGGGAAGAACAGAUGUGGAAGUAACUGUGGACAUCGUGACGGUACCUAAUCAGAAAGCCACGGCUAACUACGUG